CCUACGGGUGGCUGCAGUGGGGAAUAUUGGACAAUGGGCGAAAGCCUGAUCCAGCCAUGCCGCGUGUGUGAAGAAGGCCUUCGGGUUGUAAAGCACUUUCAGUGGGGAAGAAAGCCUUGGGGCUAAUACCCUCGAGGAAGGACAUCACCCACAGAAGAAGCACCGGCUAACUCCGUGCCAGCAGCCGCGGUAAUACGGAGGGUGCGAGCGUUAAUCGGAAUUACUGGGCGUAAAGCGCGCGUAGGCGGUCUGAUAAGCCGGUUGUGAAAGCCCCGGGCUCAACCUGGGAACGGCAUCCGGAACUGUCAGGCUAGAGUGCGGGAGAGGGAGGUAGAAUUCCCGGUGUAGCGGUGAAAUGCGUAGAGAUCGGGAGGAAUACCAGUGGCGAAGGCGGCCUUCUGGACUGACACUGACGCUGAGGUGCGAAAGCGUGGGUAGCAAACAGGAUUAGAUACCCGUUAGUC
rnacentral:rRNA from 1 species